CAAACAGUCACUGGAGCCAGAGGCCAGGAGCCAGAAAGAAACACAUGAAGACCGAAAAAGGGACUUGGAGAGAGUCUGGGAGUGACAGCCACAGGGAGACACAGAAUGAAACAGAGCGACCAGCAGAGGCAGAGACUCUAGGAGACAGACACCAGAGACACACACAGACAGAGGCAGGAACAGAUCAGAGUCAGAGACAGCCCCGGAGAGACACCGGUUCCCAGUCACAGGGAGACAGAGCGACAGACUCCGAGAGAACAGAAGGGAUGCUGCAGGCUGCAGACAGCUGGACUGUAAGAGAGGAUGCAGCUUCCUUCCUGCUUGCUGGAUCUCCUGUGCUGUAGCCUUCAGUUGCCAUGUAAGCAGUUCCAGCCAUCGCCUGAACCAGAGGACCAAGGGAAGCCCUCCUGAAUUCCUGACUCACAACACCCG